UCAGCAAAAGAAACUCCAGAACCCAAAGCAAAUUUUCCUGCCCGGUACAAGGAGGACAUAUUUUCACUGACUGUUUCCAUGGAAAUAAAUCGGAGGCAUUACUUUUGGAGCAACUAUGCGGCCCAAGAUAAUUUGUCUUGACUCAGUGUGAUCCAGGCAAGCCAAAAGGUUGCACACCCAUGAAAUAAGCCAAGAAAGUACAUGGACUGCAAGAAAAUUCUUUUUGGUCUACUGACAUCCCUGUUUAAUUAAUAAGUGCUGUCACACAUUCAGCAAGCACGCAUAUCGCUCUUGGUCUUGGUAAGAGCCACUCUCUUUUCCAGUGCUGUGAGUCACUCAGUCUUCACAAGGUUUUGUCCUCUUCACCAGUCACAAAAAAAUAUUUGUUUGGAAUUUGGUAAACUGAAGUGGAAGUGUCCUCGCUGCUGAGAAUUUACACUGGGACCAGAAUGAUGCCUGCUCUUCCCUCACACAAGGAUGCAGAGCCUAUCGAAGGAAGGGAAUUACGAAAUGACAAGGUUUGAGCUCCCUCUGAAGGAUCAGCCAUUUCAUUUAGCUGCUGUGUACUUAUUGCUGGAAUAUACCUGGGAUGGUUUGAGUGACAGUCUUCAUUUCUGGUUCGCUUCCAUGAAGAUGCAAGGGUGAGAAGUAUUGCGGAGUUAAGAGAAGAGAAAGUCUCUCCAUCUCUCUGUCGUCCUGCUCAGACCCGAGAUUUAGACAAGGAAGAAUGGAAGAUUCGCUCGAAGGCGGCCUGAGAGUCUGCUGAGAAAGGAUGAGCCACAGCAGAGGAGGAGGAGAUUCAAGAAGGAAACAACAACCCAAGAGCAAGGAGGUUGUGAAUCAGCCAAACCUCUGGGAGACAUCAUGCACAGAGGAGGAGACACCAAGACUCCAUGCUCAGGAAAACUGAUAUACUUCUGUUAGUAGUCUUGGGUCUCAUUUGCAUUACCAUGCAUUACCAGUACUUAGAGAUAUGUUUAACUUUAAGGACAUGGGUGAUUGUGGUCUGAAAGCAGCAAUGUGGUUUUAUCUGCUUAUGUGCUCUAUAUUCUCAAAGGGAAACUGUUCCCACUUUUCAGAAACAAAACCUAAGAAUGUGACUGGGAAAAUGAGCCUGGGACAGAAAAAUCAGACCAACAGUCUAAAAGAUAUAAAAUAAAAUAAAAUAAAAUAAAAUAAAAUAAAAUAAAAUAAAAUAAAAUAAAAUAAAAUAAAAUAUGUCACAGCCUAUUGUAAAAAAAAAUCAUUUCUAACUAAGAAAAAGUGACUUGCAGGACUAAUUUGAGAAUAUAUUUGUCAUAAGCCAGCUAAGAUGAGCCAAGCUUUUUAAAUCAGUCCAUCCCUGCCUCCUUUGGCUGGUAGCAAGGAGAAAGAAACUUGGUGUGCAGCUGGAAGACUGAUGCCAAGCUAAUCGAAUGUGCGUGCAGAGGGAGCAGCAGAUGACAAGGACAGGAUUGGCAGGAUGUCGCCAGAUUGUUUGAUUAGCAAUGGGAUGGCUCAAGUGCUCCCUGUCCUACCAGGAACUUGGCACAGAUGCUGACACGUGACUCAGUCCCCAAGCAGUUGUUCUCUGCAGCACUGUUUGAAAAAGGGCUCUGCUUCUCCAAAAACAGGAAGGGUAUUAACAAAAACAAAAACAAGGAUGAGAAAGAAAGGCUAUGAGACUGUGUCUAUAAAUGUUAGAUUCUGGCUAUUCUUUCUGUUAAUACCACCCAAACUUCAGCUGAAAUGAAAUAUUUGACUUGGGAUAAAAAUCAGAUAGUCUGAAAUUUAACCCAGCAAAAGUAAUAUGAGGGAGCAUUGAUGAGUGGGUAUUUUCCUUCCCCUACAGUUUCGCCAUCCAUGUUAUUGCUUUCUUUCUGUGUGUCAGUUUAGACCAACCUGCCACAAAAAAAAAUAUUAUUUUUUUCCUAGGAGACAAAUAUGGUGAGAAAGGCAGCAACACUAUCUUCUAACACCAAAGUUGCAAAUCUAUUCUGGUGAAGCUAAGUGAAAAAUGAAGCAAACUGAUUUCAGAGACAUAUACGUAGGCCUAUGGAGAAAGCCCCAAGCAUAAAAACUAGCUCUCAGCACGAAACAUGGGUAGCAAUUGCCUUUGAUUACUAACAGCAGGUUUUUCAGUCUAUGGACAAAUGUGUAGAUUAUGAGCAAUUUUCUGAGGCAUCUAAAUCAGCAUAUUCAGAUAGAAACAAAUUUUUGAUGCUAUGGCAUCACUGCUACAGUCCAAAUUACAUUGCGCAGAUGUACAUGUAAAUAUCUUACUUGCACUAAAGGCAGCUCAGAAAAAUCAGGGAAUCUGACAUCUCCCCUGAGAUUUUUAAGAUAGUUCAAAUGAUAAAAUAAGUAAGUUCCUCAGAAACAAGAUGGGUGUUGGUGACAGUUUGUACAUUCAGCACAACAAAUAAUCAGCUGCUAUGAAUUUGGAUAACCCUGUUAAAGCCAACAGAACAGAAACAGUUUUUAUCAAGUUACAGCUAGUCCAGAGCAUAUACAUGAGACUUGUACAUAACAAUACUGCAGAUAUAUGGAGAAACUGUAAUGCAGACAGCAGCUUUAUAGUGGGCUUUCAUAUGCCUAUAUACUUCUAAACUGUAUGUGUAACUACAUUCUUGUCAGUUCUUCAGCCUUUUCAGAUGGAUAUGUUACUUCUCUCUAACGUGUCAGUUUUCUGACUAACCUGUCAUAACAAUCUAUGACACCACUCUCUAACAGCUUACCACUGCUUUACAUGAAAUGUGAGGGUUUGUCUGCAGUCACACAUAGGAAUCAUAUUCCAAAAUAAGAGUGUGGGGGAGACGUCUGUAAGUAUAGAUGUAAGCGCAUACGUAUGUAUACGUAGACAGACACACAGAUCCAAAAUAUCUGCCUGUGAAUCAUUGGAAUUACAAUCACAGAGAAUGAAGCAGCACAAGAUGGGAUAUUUCUCCUGAGCUGCACACUGUUUCUCAGCUUUGUGGAAAACUCCUUUUAUGCUGUGACCACAAAUGAUGCACCAUCAGUGGAGUGAUACCGUGUUGCUGAGAAAUGAACUGCUUGUUUGAAUGGACUUUGCAUUCGUUAUAGAAAAGGAACAACUCCAGUUUUAGAUAGAUUCAUUUAUUUACUUUGCGCUGUUUCCAUGACUCAUAAUCCUUUUAAUAAAUCAAACUAAAGAACAUAACAUCAAAUCAGAGAAUCAUAGAAUCUUUAGAGUUGGAAGGAAUGCUUACAGGCCAAGGAGGUGCAAGGAGGUACAGGUUCUUGAUUUGAGUCCCUCUGGAACACUUGAAAACAUAAAACAUAAAAAUUGUUCAAAAUAUCAUCUUUCCAAAUUAAUAUGUGUUCUUGUUCUGUAUUGUGCACACCGACAUGACAUGAUUCCUGGAAUUUCCUGCUGAUAGAACAUUUUUCCAAAGAUGAGAAGAGAUCCAAAACUUUACAUUAGCAUAGUUCAAAUUCACAAGUCCAUGGCCUCAGCCUACAGACAAUGAUGCCCCAGUCUCACUUGCAGCUAUUUCCAUUAGACGAGUGUGGCUGAUGGGUCAGAAUGGAAAAACUCAUGGGAAAAAAGACAACUUAAAAUCCAAAAGAUAAUGUUGGAGGUUUUAUCUGUGCUUCUGACAAUACACGGCUGUUAACUCUACUAAUCUGGGCUUUCUCUAAGGGCUGGCAGGGAAUUCAACAUAACCAAAUCUACUCUCUCUGAGGUGCGGGAACUUUCUGGAGCUUAUAAUGAAAGUCUGGAUGCUCAUGGAAAUCAAAGCUGCAUGCUCCUGCCCACAGAAGAGACAGGCAGCAUUGCCACUGCCCUGUGGCCCCAGAAAUAGAAUGGAAAUCUUUGAGGGACCUAAGAGAGAGGACUACAGCGAACACACAAUCUGUGUUUCCUGUAAACUUCUUCAUUUUCCCUCCAUCCUACUUUCAAAUGAAAACAGUCCCUACUGUUCUGAUGUAGGGGAGAAGUCUUUCCUGAUACAUAGCUUAACCUUAAAUGCUUAAAAGAGAAGGCAAACAGGUCCCAGAAAGGCUUAUCUGCAUCACAGAGGACACUAGUACCUCCUACCCCUCUCUUUCCAGUUGAAACUUAUCUUGGAUGUUUCAGAAAAAAAAGAUGAAGAGAAAGAGAAAAACAGCCAAGCAUUGUGUAAGGAGGUGUGAAACAUGUUUCUGGCCUUUACUUUCAUUCUGUGCUACCAUCUCAAAAUCUUUUCCUUGUUUCUGGGCAUCCUGUGUGACCCUUGUAAUUACAGUGAAUGUCUCUCAGGCAACAUUAACCCCUGCCCUGAUCCAUCUCUAACAAUGAUUGCAUUAAAAACUUCACUGUGUCUGCAGCUAUUUAAUCAUUCAUCACCUGGAAAGUGGUACUGCUCUACUGCUCUGUGACUGUGGCCAUUAGUGGUGACAAGCAAGGUCUUCCUGAAAUUAAGAAUAUGACAGUAUGAGCUGGCUUAGAUUCGGCCUUUUACAGAUACAUCCAAUAAUGAAAACUCCUUCACAUCGGUACUGUCCAAAGCCCGCUGACGUCAGUGGAGAGAUCUGAUCUCAGUGGGCUUUAAAUCAGACUCUAUAGCUAAGGCUUCCAAAGCAGCUGGGGGGAUUCAGGCACGUAUCUUUCAUUAAAGUGAGGGUAUAUUAAAGCAAAUGGAAGAUAUGUGUCUGAAAUCCCCUAGACUGCUUUGAAAAUCUAAAAUACUGUGCAAGCUGUACAGCUUUCUCUAUAAAAAUAGCUGCCAAAUCUAGCUUUGGUAAAGGCAAUAGAACUGCAUUAAAAGAUCCGCAGAAAGGCCUGGUCCCUCUGAUCCUUUAGGAAAACAGAGAGAAGGAUGGCCAGAGUGCUUUAUUUUCAGCUUUAAACCGUUCCCACGUCAAAGACAUUUGCUCGAGCAAUUUAUGGGAAUGGCAUAGUAGCCAAAAGAAAAGUAAUGCUACUCUUGUCUACGUAGAUGUCACACUUAUAUGGCUCAUCAAGCUGGGAUCAGGACUGCAACAUCUCUCGUGGACAUUAAGGAAUAUUUGAUGUGGGUUUCUCCAUGAGCCUAUGUGCAAGACUGAUCUGGUUGCAAAUUCAUGUUGAUAAGGCUGAGCCCAAGACAGCACCACCAUCAUUCCAGCAGCUCCUCUCAGGAGAAGUCUUGGUACAGACCCUUCUCCUCCUGUCCAGCUUUCAUGGGGACACAGCACUGUACCUCAGCCCCACGUAAGAACUCCCUCUGUUUUCUGAGAAGCAGUGAGACAAGCCUUCUUUCCUAUAGCCCACAAUGACAAUCUACUUAUUAUUCAGACACAGCCUCGCCUAAUUACCUUGUUAUUUUGUGGCAGGCUAGAACAAGGUAGCACCAUUAAGUCAAGUGUCUUCAUUUUAGCCAUCCACUGCCUUCAUUCUUGAUUUAGAAGGCAGUGGCACAAGAGUGGUCUCAGUCACACACAUCCCAUACAGCUCAGGUUGUCGUGCCACUAGCUUACCUUGGUUGUGUAUCUGCUUAUAGACUUUUUUCUUUAUUUCUUGCAUUUUUGGACUACCAAGAACAAGUUACAUUCUGUUAGAGUGACAAAGAGUAAUUGCAUUUUAUGUGUUAUUUCUUGAUGGUAGAGGUACUUCAAACCUCAGAUUGAUUUCAGAUUUCAAAUAUCAGAAAGUUUGAUGCAGUCAGCUCAGGGUGUCCAAUUCUGACCUGUCUCCUGCAAACACAAUCAAAACCUUAUAAGACUCAGAGCUCAGACAAAUGAUAAGCCAAGUCCAGGGAUCUGCCCAUAGUUCAUAUUUUUAGUGCAGGAAGAAUUGACUCAAAGGGAAAAUUGAUGUACAAGAAGAUGUGAUAAAGCUGACGUCCAGAUAGCAUUUGCUCUGCUGAAAUGUUACAACCUGAGCAAGACAAUCUGUGAAAGAGGUAAUUGAGCAUUUGAAAAGCACCUGUUAAUGACGGGUAAGAUAACAACCCCGAGGAACCACCUGUCAGGGCAGGUGAUGAACUCUCCCUCUGAUCUGUUUCUUACUACAGUUUUCUCCAGGGAAACUGGUAGCACAUUCACAUGUCUUUCUAGAGAAAGUUCAUAAUAACAGAGGAUUUAAAUAAACAGAAGAUUGAUUUUAAUGGAAGGUGAAUCAUUUGUGUUUCUUUUUUCUUUUCUCGUGCAGCUGAAAUGUUUUAUCUAGCUUAGAUUAUGAGGAAUGUAAAUAAAUUUAUGUUGAAUGUUAAAUAAACAUUUGCUUUCUUUUUUCCAA
ensembl:lncRNA